UACAGAGGUGGCAAGCGUUGUUCGGAAUUACUGGGCGUAAAGGGCGCGUAGGCGGUUCGUUAAGUCCUGUGUGAAAUCCCCCGGCUCAACUGGGGAACUGCACAGGAAACUAGCGGGCUUGAGUUCGGGAGAGGGAAGCGGAAUUCCGGGUGUAGUGGUGAAAUGCGUAGAGAUCCGGAGGAACACCAGUGGCGAAGGCGACACGCUGGGCCGUACCUGACACUGAUGCGCGACAGCAUGGGGAGCAAACAGG
rnacentral:rRNA from 1 species